UAAAAAAGGCGCGAUUCAUUGGAGCAGGGGAAAACUUGCACUGUGUUGAGUUUAGUACGCAUUUUAAUGCCCAAUCGUUGGCAGAGAGUAGGUCAUUCGAAAACUGUGUAUGUUCGGCUACGGUCAUUAUAGGAAGAGAACGGACCAGCCAUGUUAAACGUAUAGCCUUUCUGUUAACCCACGUUCUAUUGACACUUGUGCAGCACUGAAAUGUCGUCAUCGGGUGCCAGGGAUUUUGGUGUCUCUUUAAAUCUACGCUUUUUUUAUUCUUUUUGAUUCGGGACAAUGGACUAGAUGACGCUGGUUUUAAAAAAGAAUAAAAAGUUCUUUCUAUUAUCUAUUCCUAUCAAGAUUAUAAUUUCGGCACGGCGAUCAAAAGGUCACUUUCAAAAAAAAAGAGUAUCGUGACAUGAAACUGGAUUACGUGGGUCGAGGACAUCUUGCGAACAAUACCUAAAACAAGGCAUGAAAUUCCAAACGUUUGGCCUUUUUGUAUAGUUUACCAACUGUCAGCGUGACAAAGCUUUUCUCAUCGCGCUUGUUAUUUACUUGAUAAAAAUAAAGCAACUCGAUAUGGA